CAGCCGCCGCGGUAAUACGUAGGGUGCGAGCGUUAAUCGGAAUUACUGGGCGCAAAGCGUGCGCAGGCGGUUAUAUAAGACAGAUGUGAAAUCCCCGGGCUCAACCUGGGACCUGCAUUUGUGACUGUAUAGCUAGAGUACGGUAGAGGGGGAUGGGACUCCGCGUGUAGCAGUGAAAUGCGUAGAUAUGCGGAGGAACACCGAUGGCGAAGGCAAUCCCCUGGACCUGUACUGACGCUCAUGCACGAAAGCGUGGGGAGCAAACAGGAUUAGAGACCCCCGUAGUCCCUGUCUCUUAUAC
rnacentral:rRNA from 1 species